rnacentral:lncRNA from 1 species
GUGGUCGGGGGCGUGCUGGAGCGGCGGCUAGGCGGUGGCGAUGGCGCGACGAGCUGCGUGCGGUGGCUCUCGGUGGUCGAUCGCCUCUGCUGGAGGGGCUGGAGUUCCUGGGCAGUGAUGCAAACGCAGGUGCAGGAAAGAAAGAAAGAAAAAGAAAGAAAAGAAAAGAAAAGAAAGAAGGAAGAAGAAGAAGAAGAAGAAGAAGAGAGGGAGGAGAAGGUGGCGCUGUGGUGGUGGGUGUGCGUUGAUGAAGGGGUGAGUUUUACUUUGGAGAUAAAAAGAAAGAAAGAUUUUUUUUUUUUUUUUUUUCUAGAUGGUUUGGGUCGAACCGGUUCGGUUCGAUUCGAUUCGGCCCAAAUCAUCGAUUUUUAACUGGUUUUUGGUUUUUUUAAUCGGUUUUCGAUUCGGUUUCUAAUAGUAUUCGCACUAAAAUAUUAAUAUAAAUUUCCAGGCUGUUAAUUCAUUAGAUUUAAUUGAAUAAUUUUUGAAAAUAAAAAUUCGGGUUAUUUCAGUGCAUCAAUUGAGAAAAUUUUAUUUAUUAUGUUUCGGAUUUAUAACAUAUAAAUAAAUAAAUAAAUUUAUAUGCAUAUUAAAAUUCAAUAAAAAUCUAUAAAUCUAAGGAGCUUUAAAAUUGAAAGAUAAAAAAAAAACGCAUAAAUUUAUAGUUUCCCUCAUCAAAUAUUAUCCUCUAAUUUAUAACUUUUAUGAAUUUAACUUUCAUAAAUUGUAAGCACAAACUAUGUCUUUAUGUGGCUAUUGGUGUUCCCUAUAUUACAAAUUAAAAUAAUAUUUCUUUUUUAAGAUAUAUAUCACUAAAAUUAAAAAUUAAAACAUAUUUCUCUUCUUAUGAUCGGUUUACAAAUUAACCUUUAUAAAUAUUCUAAUUUAUAAUUUAUCUACUCAUAAUUUUUUCGUAUGUCUAUAGAUUAUGUCUUACUUGAAUAUAUGAAACUCUUUUAUUUCUCCCGUUCGUUUUUUUCUUCCCUCUAUUUUCUUUAUCUAUCAUGUUUUUCACCUCAUAUCGAUUCUCAAGUUCAAUUUAUUUUUCUAAUUAAUUCUAAACAUACUUUUAUUUUUUUUAUUAUACAUAUAUAUUCUAAAAAAAAGUAAUUUACAUAUCAAAAAAUGCAAAAAAAGAAAAACAAGCCUUCAUCAAAUUAAAAAUUAAAACAUCUUUCUCUUGUUAUGAUCAGUUUACAAAUUAACCUUUAUAAAUAUUCUAAUUUAUAAUUUAUCUACUAAUAAUUUUUUUGCAUUUCAUUUUUUUUAUAUCUAUAGAUUAUGUCUUACUCGAAUAUAUAAAACUCUUUUAUUUCUCCCGCUCAUUUUUCUCUUCCCUCUCUUUUCUUUAGCUAUCUCGAUUCUCAAGUUCAAUUUAUUUUUCUAAUUAAUUCAAAGCAUACUUUUAUUUUUUUAUUUUAUAUAUAUAUAUAUAUAUAUAUAUAUAUAUAUGGGGGUUGUUUUAAAUUUUUUUUAUUUUUUUUAUCUCUAUCUUAUAAAUAUCCCUACUCAAUAAUUUUCUUUCACAAUGGCUUUUUUGUUUUAUUUUUUGUUGCGUCUUUCAAUUAUUUUGCUUUCAAUUAUUUGUGUUUUGAUAGUGUUGUGUAUAUUUAUUUAUUUUUAUUUUUGAUAUAUAUAUAUAUAUAUAUAUAUAUAUAUAUAUAUAUAAAGCUCACAUCAUCUUUUUCUUAGAAAGUGCCAAGUGGAAUUGCUAUGUAGUGCCAUAUAAGAUUAGAAAAGUUAAGUCAUGCCACAUAGGAUUCCAAAAUGUUUAAUUUGUAAAUAAAUGCAAAGCAUAAAUGCUAAAACAUAAUAAUCAAUAAUAUAUUAAGAAGUAAUAAUCAUUUAACUUAAUAAAAUAUGACAUAAACAAUUAGCACAAAAUUAGUCAUUUCAAAAUCGUAAAUUUUUAUUUGACUAAGUAAAUAAAUAAAAUUAAAUAGAAUAUUUUAUUUUGUAACAUUAUUAUUAUUGUUAUUAUAUAUUUUUCAAAAAUGGUUUAUUAUCAUAAUUAAAAUUUAUAAAAUUUUUAACUAUAUUUAUUAAAUUAUAUUAAACAUUGCAAAUUCUAAAGUAAUAUAUCUACAAAUCAAUUUAAUAAAAAUUGAGAUAUAAAAAUUUAAAUUAAAUAUUAAAAAUCAAUAUUUAUUAAAUUAUCUAUUCACAGCACAGAUAUAUAACCAUAGAACCAAAGUUGAAGCUUUUGUGAUAUAGUUUAAAUUAGUUGAAUUUAUUUGCAUUUUCCAAAAAGAUUAGUUAAAUUUAACUGUGAUUUGAAUAAUAUAUAAAAAAUUUUCAAAUAUGGCUUUGAAACAAAUAUAGUUGGAAUAAACUUAUCACAAUUAGCAAAAUGCAUCUAAUAUUUGUUUUAAAUAUAUUUUAACGAGAAAGAAAAAAAAGGGGGGGAAAUACAUAUUCUAGACAAAUAGAGCAACAAAUUCAAAUAAAAUUACAUAAUAUAUUACAAUAAUAAAAAAUCAAUAAUAAUAUUAUGAUUGAAAAAUUUAAAAUUAAUAAAAAAUUAUAUAUUAAAACUAUGCAUUGCAUAGCAUGGGUUUAACACUAUGAUUAGUAUAAAGUACUAAAAUAUUAUUAUGGUAAAAAUGAGUUGUCAAUCCAUUAAAAAAAAAAAAAAAACAAAACAAAAAAAAGAACAAAAAUUGCAAACCAUGUAAAAUCCACUCCAACUUUUCUCUGCCUGUGCAUGCAAAAGUUUGUUACAGGUAUUUCUCUUACGAUGGUCCAUCCUCGUAGCAAUAAAGAAAAGAAGUUUUCCUGUCCAUGGUGCAAUGACACUCAGGACAAAUCAUUCUCCGAGGUAUCUGACUUCGGACAGCAGCCGGAAAAUCGAACCGAAAGCAAAGGUGAGCCACAUCGUCAACACUUUUAAUAAUCUUAUCAUAGUGUUCCUUCAAACAAUUACCAAACUCCUUAGUAUCUAAACUGUCCUUCCAUUGAUCAAACUCUUUUAAAGCACGCAGAACAAUGUUACUUUGUCCAUUUACAAAAACCUGCGAUCCCUUACCAAACAAGACCCAAUCGCCUUCUCUGUCAUAAUUAAUAACUUUCUUGAUUUCUUGCAAAAUAGUGUCAUCUUCAUUAUCAUCAUAAUUUGCCAUCUGAAUCCUGGAACUCAACAUGCUUUCUAUUCUUGUCCAGAAGAUCCAUGAUUCUGUCACUGUAUAGUAAUAACUAUUCUCUCUGACUUUGUUAAUAAGUGGUUGGAGCUGAUCCUCAGGUCUUGCGUUUUGACCAACAUAGACCAUCUGUAGUUGAAUCGUUGCUUUAUUUGCAACUUCCCGUGCAGUGGUUAUGAAAUCUGUCAGCCAUUCAAUUUUGUCCCCUCCAUACAAGAAAAUGUACUUCUUAUUCUCUUUUACCUGAUAAAUAAAGGGUAUAACCAAUUAAUCAAAUUAUAUAUAUACUUUAACUUAAGGACUAAUGAGCCAAUCAGAUGGUCUAGUUUGUCCUCUCUAUUGCAGUAACUUGGAUGCAACGUAAAGAUACCUUGGAAAUGGUUGAAAAGUUUUAAUAAAAUGGAAGCUCCCCACUUGAUUUGUAUUCAUAUUUUAUUCAACUUGGUUAGAAGAUAUAAGAAUGGAUUUGCUGAUUUUUUCAGUUAGUAAGGGUGUUAAGACUGCGAUGGACUUUUUAGCUUGGUUGUAGUUAUUUUUAUUGCUAUUGUAAGUGAGUUUUUUUCUUUUUUUUUUUUUUUUGGGAUAUUUGUAUCUUUUUUUCUUAACUUAAAAGAAUGAUAGGUUUUUCCUUAUCAGGCUGUAUUAUUUUUAUCAGAUUUUUAUUUAAUAUUUUCAGGCUAGUUAUGAGUAGAUUGGAGAAGAUUAUUGACUUGUGAUAGAUUCCUGUAAAUCUAAACUAUUGUUGGUUAUUUAAUUCUAGUAAGAAAAAUUUUUGUUGCUGAAAAAAAAAAUCAUCAAUUUGUUAGAAAGAAAAAUAAUAAUUACCCAAUUAAGAAUAGUACGGUCGAUGCUAUCAACGAGAAGCUCAAGACCCCAUUUCUCUUCAUUCCAUAGUUUUUCUUCUCUAGACUUAGUGAAAGGGUAGGCCUUGUCCCUCCAAAUCCACAUCAUGUGGAUAGCGUUAGAGCAAACUACAUCACCUCUAGAGUCAAGCACCACCAUGAUAGGCUUGUCCCUGAAGCGCCACACAUCUUUGAUCAAUCUAUUCACCUCCUUAGAUAACGAGUUUGGGUCGAACAAUGUAUGCCAACUCAUUUUAGAUUUCAAUUGCUCAAAUUUUUCUUUCAUCGGCUCAUUCUCAGGAGUGUUAAGAUCACAGUCUACGAUUGGAAUCCAAACCAUCUCAAUUUGAAUAUCUCGCAUUGUUCGAUGAUACCUGAACUCGUAGAAUAUAUCUUGGAGAACUGAAAUUGCACGCUUUGAAAGGUCUAGAUUGGAAAUUAGCAAUAUAACUUGCUUCCUUCUCAGCACUUCAAUAUUAGCCUAUUCAUGCAAAGCAAAACAAGAGUCUUGGUUGUGUUAGGCUUCAAAAUGUAUAAGCUCCGUUCAAUUAGAUUGCAAUUGCUAAUAGUAAAUUUAUAGUCAAUGGAUAUACAUUUUUUUUAAUUUGGAGUUUAUGGGUUUACAGCUAAUUUUUGAAAAUGUAUCAAAAAAAAAAAAAAAAAAUUCAAAGAUUUAUAUAUGCAUAUUUAUUUUUUGUGUCAGAGAUGAACCGAUUUGUAUAGAAAAAAAAAAAAAAAAAAUCCAAAGGUGCAUCCCUUACUCUCAGCUCAUAUAUGCAUUUAACCACUACUUUCUGAAUUUUGGUUAGGGGCGAACUCUAAUUUAAACGAACUCAUUUCGGAUUGAGCCAAUCAUUGGGGCUAACAAGUAUAUAUAUAUAUAUUCCUCCAUUAACAACUUUUUUUUUAUUAUUAUUUCAAAAACGAUUGUUAGUGACUAGUGAUAGAUAUAUGCGCUAGCUGGCUAGAAAAGCAAAUCUUUACCUCCCACCGGCCAUAAUAAAGCUUCUCAGCAGGAAUCAGAAUCUUGAGGAUCUCCAUGUUGUCCUCUUUAUAUGUAUCAAAAACAUUCAGAAGCUUUAGAUACUUUUCAAAAUUCUUCUUCUCAUCUGCAAAUACGUUAAAUUCAAUCUUUCAUUAGAUCUUAUAUAUAUAUUUAUAUAUAUAUAUAUAUAUAAGUAUUGGAUUGUUUUGAGAUUAUUAUUUAGUUACUAAUGAUGAAAACGUUACAUUGAAAAUAUAUUAGUGUUGAAAGUAAUUCGAGUUUGUAUUUUAGAUUGUCCUAAUUAUAGGAACUUAUAAACCGCUAAACAACAUUUUAAAGGACUACUAUAUCAAAAAAAAAAGUUCUAUUUUUUUUUUUGAAAAAAAAAAAAAUACAAUUUUAUCCAUUUUUUAAAGUAUAUAGAUUACUCAUGUAUCGGCAUAAGUAAGUCUUUCCCUAAAUAACAUUAGAACGUGUAAUUUAAGUAGCAAACCUGUGUGUUUCUCACAAUAAUCUUUAUGCUCCGUUAGAUACUUAAUUUCGUCUUUAAGUUUUGUAGUCAGGAACGGUAUGUCCUCAACUUUGCCUUCACUCUCAGCUUUGCCUUCAGGUUUCCCUUCUGAUCCCUUAGUCUGGAAGCUCCCCACAUCGUCCCUAAUACUCAGCUCCCUAAAACACGAUAUUAAUUUGGCUCAGUCCUCCAUAUUAGGGUUAUAAAUUAUAAGUUCAAACACUAGUUUAACCAUACUUUUGAAGCCCCUUCCCAAUUAUAUGGGUUAGGCAAGCCAAAACACUCCUUAUUGUCCAGUAGAUAGCAACAGGGAUACGUUCGAGACCCUCAGAUAUUUUUGGAUCUUCCAGGGACAUGUAAACAGAAGGUAAGUCCCUGAACUCGAUCACAAGGUUCGACACUUUGAUCGUUAGUUCCAUCAGAUAUUUAAUUUCGUUAAACCGAGUAUCCAAUUCAGAUUUUUCAAAAUAUUUUGGGAGUCCGAAGAUUGCCAAUGAGGUCUUGCUAAAUUUGUUCGAGAUAGAAAGCUGCUGUAGUAAAAGAGAAAGUGUUACACAGCUCAAAGCAAAAGCUGCCAUUGUUAGCACCAACUUUGCAUCCCAAUCAAAAUAUUUUAGCGUUCUGAAUAAUGACAAAGCUGCUUCAUGGGGAUCUCCUUUUCUGAUCGACUGAGAUGAAAUCUGCAAUUCAUUUUUAGAGUCGAUUUCCAAAUGGUGAGAUCCUUAAUUAAUAAAUUUGAUUGUAAUACUGAAAAGUGAAAAUCGGAUAAAAAAGAAAAAAGGGUUAAGAAAUUAUUAUCUGUAAAAUGCACCACAUGUGAAAAUGAGAUGACUAACAAUACAUAUUCAGAUAUAUUUCCUCUGUUGAACCGAAUCCGGAUUAAUCGGCUAUGCCGAAUACCGGGUGGUUUACUAAAAAAAAGUUUGACCAUUUUUUAAUUCAUAUUCAUUUCAUUAAAACAAAGUUUAGUGCACAUAUCUAAAUAAAAGUAAAAUUGAAAUAAAAUAAUUAAUGCUAAAUUGAUUUUUUAAAAGUAUCAUUUAAAUGAAUAAAAAAAAAAGUAAAAAACUAUCAAUAACAGUUGAGAACGAAGGGAGUAUAUAUAAAACCAAUGCCAUUCCAAAACCUGAGAAGAUAUUUGGUCAAUAAUAGUUGAGAGGGAUUCCUUAGUAUUGGUAAAGAUGCUCUGAAGGCUCGUAACCUCCAUUUUCUUGUCCGAUAGCCUACCCUACAUGAAGUUAAUCAGAAGCAAUUAGUUCUGAAAUAUAUAUAUAUAUAUAUAUAUAUAUAUAAAAGAAAAUUUAAUAUAAAACUCUUACUGUUAAUCAUAAUUAGCAUAUGUUAGUCUCUGUUACUUUAAAAUUAAUGUUUUAUCUCUCUUAGAUUUUUCAAUUACAAACUUUUAGUCCCGGUUUACAAAAUCAUGAAAUUUCACUAUGCUUUAGUCAUUGAUGUUUUAGUAUCUAUUCGACAAUGUUAAGUGUUUUAGUAGCUGUUAACUAUUCUAUUACCUAUUAAUUACCUAUUAAUUUUUAACCGGUAGCUGUUAAUAGAGCAGUUAGAUUCAGUAAAAAUAGUGGCUUAGCUUAAAAUGACAAAAAAGACAUUAAUUAUUUAAUUAGUUGAAUUCGGCAAAAAAAAUAAUGAUUAAAUGAUUGUCAAAAAAAUUAAUUAAUCUCUGUCAAAUGUUAAACAUUAAAAGUUUAACUUUUAUAAAAAAACUCACUCAAACUCUAAAAGCUAUGGUACAUAAUGCUAGAUAAAGUUUUAAUUUGAUUAAAAUGGUAAAAGCUAGCUCAAAAGCAAUUGCUGAACAAGCCUUCAAUUAUAUAACACUUUGAUUUAAAAAUUUUUAUUACAGUAUAUCCUAGUACUUAAAUUAUUGUUACAUUAUUUGACCAUUUGAUUAUUUCAAAAAAAAAAAAAAAAAAAGUUACUCUAGAGAAUAAAAAUGCUAAAUUUGAAAAUAAUGAAAACCAAAGUGCUAAUUAUGAUAAACUCAGGAUUAUUAUUGAAAUUUAUCCUAUAUAAUGUAAGAAGAAGUUUACUUGAAGAGCGGUACGACUGAGGAUGUCUUGAACGACAAGUAGAAGAGAUUUUACAUUAAAGUCUCGGCCAUCAGGAUAAUGAGUUUUCUGCAUUUGCUUUAUCCUUUUGUCAUCCAAAUCUGCAGCUGCAGAUUGGGUCGUCAUCGCGAUCUAGCUAGUAUAGCACUACGGGAUAUGGAAGGUUAAUUUAGGUUAAUGUUUCGAAGAGAAGGUAAGAAUCAAGAUUGUUUCUUGUCGCUCUAAACUAUAGCUAUUGCAUCAUAUAUAUAUAUAUAUAUAUAAUCUGAAGCAAAUGGAAUAAAGAUAACGAAUAAUUGAGUUUUAACUAAAUAGUAAAAGAUUUGUCUUUAAAGCUAUAAAGUUCAUAUUCAAAGCCCUAACUGGGGCUAAGAUAGGCAAGAACAAAAAAUAAAGUUAACAAGAAGUUUAGUGAUAUUAGACAUUUUACUUUUAUAGCAUUGGAGAGGAAGAUUUUAACUUUUUUUUUUUUUUGGGGGGUAUAAAUGCGGAGCAGGAAGAUUUUAACAUUACUUGCUAAGAUUUGAAUGUUAAAGCCAACUUCUAAAAUUGUCAUGUAUUAUGUCAAUCCUAUCUUAAUUUUGAAAAAAGAAAAGGAAAAAGAAAAAGAAAAAGGGAAAAAGAAAAAGAACAAAGAAAUGGAGUAAAGUUGCCUUGGAAUCAACUUCCUUGCUUGCAUUGUAAUUAAUUAAAAAUCAUAUAAAGCUAACAAUGUGAAGAAUGUAAUGUAGUAAUUUUGCUUAUUAGAAUUUGGGCACUAUACCUCCAACUUAAUUUACCAUAAAUUUUUAGAAUUAGGAUUUUGUACUUGACCAUAUAUUGUGUUUAAAAAAGAGUGCAAAGAAAACAUUCUUUUUUUUUUUUUUUUUAAAAAUAUUGUUUGGUGAAAUAGAUCUAUAGCUAUUUUUUUUUUUAAAUUUCUUUUUGGUUUUUAGUAUUUCCAAGAUUUCUCUUUUGGAUUGGCGGUUGGCUUACUUACUAUUAAGCCACUCCAGUAGUUUUGGUUAUAGCUUCUCUAUCUAAUUCCUUAUAUAUGAUAUUUAGGUGAAGUUAAUAUAAUUACUUAUUAAUUAUAAAAUGAUUUAUGCAAAUAAGAACUUUUAUACACAUAAAACAUAUGAAGUUUAUAUAUGUAUAUAUAAAGAAGACAAAGAUGAUAAAAUUUUUGUGUUCUUACCUAGACCAGGAUGUAUCCCAUGGAUUAAAUUAAUUAAUGAAAAUAAGAAUUUUUGUAAAUUUGGUUUUACUUUAUUCUUUUUUUUCCCCUUGUGUAUGGUAAGAAAUUAUCCUUAUUUUAAUAAAAAAAAAUCUUUAUUUUUAUUAAUUUGGUCUAUGGGUGAGCCCAUGGAUCUAGUUUAAAUAAGACAAUCACUUUUAUUUAUAUGCUUUCACGUAAGAAGUAACUAAGUGACAAUGAGCCGUUGAUUUAAGAAUCCUUUUAACAGAAGUAUAGAAUUGUAGAUCUUAUGUACGCUAAGGCAUUGUCUAGUGGUAAGUGUAUAUACGGCCUGACAAUAGAUCCAUGCUUCAAUAUCGUCCCCAAUACUAAAAAAAAGAAUUGUAAAUAUUGUUGCUGGAAUAAUAACUUCUCCACACCCUUUAAAUAUAGGGAAAAUUAUAGUACGAUCCCUAUAGUUUGCAAAAUAUAGCUAGUCCGUCCCUGUCUUUUUUAAAAUAUACUAAUUUGCCCCCUAUAUUUUGCUUCCGUUACACUAUUAAGUCAUUCGGCCCAAUUUUUGCAUCUUUUCUAUUAAGUCAACAAGAAAACACGGAAGUUAAAAGAGAGAUACUAAAAUUUUAUACUAAAAAAUUACAUUAUAGUCCCUAUGGUUUGAAAAAUACAAUUAGACCAUCCCUGUAUUUUUAAAAAUAAAAGGGGUAUUUUUAUUAUUUCAUAAGAUACUUAAUAGAAAAGAUGUAAAAAUUAGACGAAAUGAUCUUGUAGUAUGACAAAAGUAAACUAUAAGGACAUUUUAGUCUAUUUCCUAAAAGCAGGGAUGGACUAGUUGUAUUUUCUAAAUCACAAAGAUCAUACUGUAAUUUCCCUUAAAUAUAUGUAAUAAUAUAUAAUAUAAUAUAUUGUUUUAUUGAGACAGUUUUUAAUUUUUUAUAGGAUCAAAGAGGAAAGCUUUUUUUUUUCCUCACAUAUUUUACUGAUCAUGAACUAGAGUAUAAUUAUCCUCGUAUAGUUGGUCUUUCCAUUAAUAUAGAGAGUGAGGUCUCAGAUUCGAAUUCUACCACAAAAAUUUUCACCACAUUGAUUUGUAACAAUCAUACUAUGAGCAUAAUAACCACUGUAAUGUAAUGAUAAUUGCAUAGGUUUGUCGGCAAAUUUUGCCGUACCAUGUAAAAAUUUUAUACCUCCUUUAUUUUGUUCAGCUAUAUUUGUUUUUAUCUUAUUGAAUUGUAUUGAUAGUCUGCGAAUCCACAAAUAAUCCUAACAUACUUUGAACUUAAAAAUAUUGAUAAUAAGCAAUGAUAGCAAGAACGGCCUAUUGGUUGUUAAACAAGUUUAUACUUUUCUUGCUCGUAAAACACAAAAACCAAACAAAUUAAUAUUUUAUCCUGCAGAAAUUGUUGUGAUUUUGAGUCAUUAAUUGUUUUACUACACAUGGCCACAACAUUGGAACGUUAACUUCUCCACAGUUCCGCGACAAUGCGAGCAUUCUGCAGUUUCUAGAUUGGUGGUAGCAAAUUCAGGAAGCACAAGUUGGAAGCACUUGUCCAGUUUAUGAUAAUCCACAAGCUUUUCUUUAAGCGUUGGCAGAAAGCCAUUUUUUAAUGCUUGUUCUUUCCAUUCUUCUUCAUAUUUCAACAAGCAUUCCAAAAUAUCACUUCCCUUGGCAGUGACCAAAGCACCAGGGCCUGACCCUUUACUCAUUAGAGCCCAUCCACAUUCUCUGCUAUCGAAGCUAAGUAGUGUAGUGAGUUCCUUCAUUAUAGGAUCAUCUUUCAUGGAUUUCCCUAUUUGAUAUCCUGUAUGCCAUAUACUCUGUAAUCUAGACCAGAAGGACCAAAUUAAAACUCGUUCUUUCCAGCAAUGGCUGAGUUCUUCUUCAGUAAUUUUUACAAUAUUACUCGAGCAUCGCUUGUUUAGAUUGCUCAUUCCCACGUACAGCAUUUGCACGCCGAUAGCUGCAGAUUUUGCAACUUGUUUUGCGGUUCUUGUAAAGUUGCGAAUCCAUUUUAUGUCCUCUCCCCCAUAGAGACAUAUUAGGUUAUCUUCUUGUUUCCACCUUUGAAUUAUUGGAUCCAGAUCAUUUGUAAUCAAAUCAAGACUCCAACUUAAACCCUUCCACAAGACUACUUCUCUUGAAGUGGUAGCUUCUUCUUUUGAAAUGGUAGAAGGGAUCGCACCUUUUCCCCAAAUCCAUAUCAGAUGCAAUGCAUUAGGUGUUACAACCCUUCCUUGCUGAUCAAGCGCUACAAGAAUAGUCUUUUCCUCGUAACGCCAAACUUCUCUGAUGAAUUUAAUUGCUGCUUCAUUAAUCACUGAUGGAUGGUACACCGAGUACCAUGGCAUUUUCUCCUGUUUGUACUGGAACUCCUUCUGUGCAAAUGCGACCACAAUUGGGAGCCAUACAAUCUCACACUCAGUUUCUUCAUAAAUCGUCGCAAGCCUGUUUAUCUCUUUUUCCGAGAUAUUACAGUCCGAUAUCAGCAGCAAUAGCAACUUUUUUCUUUUCAGAAGAUCUAUGGUAACCUGUUUAAGUGAAUUGCACAGAAUAUGAACAGUGUAGAUAAACAAUAAUAAUAUAGUCAUAGCAGUAAAGGGAAAGUAGAUCAAACCCUCUGCUUCGUUUUCCCAUAAACAAGUGGUUGCCAAUAAUCUCUAGCUGAAACCAAAGCCUUGAGAAUCUCUAGACAGUGUACUUUCUGGGUCCUCUCAAAGAUGUUUAUAAUUCUUUCAUAAGAUUUGAUAUGCUUAUAUACAUCUGCAAUAUAAAACAAUCGAUCUAUUUUAACAUCAACAAUUCCAAUACUAGAAUGACAUAUAAGUAAAUUAACUUACCAACGUGCCCUGGGUUCAUUGUAAGGUAAUGCUCAAGCGCACCAAGGAAAUCUUGACGUCUUAUGUUGUCUUUCCACUCACAAAAAUUAACUAAGCUAUCCAAAAUAUGUUUCCCUUUUGCUUUGAUCCUGAAAUCUGACCCACGACAGAUAACAGCCCAACCACCUCUACUGGAACCCAUGUUAAGCAAUGAAAUAAUGUCUUGCAUUAUGAGAUCCUCGUAGAUUCUUUUUCCCAAUUGCAUCCUUGAAUGUCCCAUGUUCUCCAAUCUUUUCCAGAACUUCAUUUGUUUUUCCUCUGUCAAGGAAUAUUUCAGUUUCAGAUCUUCUCUUUCUAUGGUUGCAGUAUUGCGUCUCUGUCUUUGCUUGUUUGGUUUCCAUUUCCCCAAAUAAAUCAUUUCCAAGACAACAUCUGCUGCACUUGCGACGGAAGGUGCUCUAGUAGUGAACAUCUUGAUCCACUCCAUGUCCUCUCCUCCACAAAGGCAUAUGCAAUGCUGUCCUGAUUCAAUCUGAUAACAAUUCCAUAGAAUCAAACAAGAAAUAAAUUAUUGUAACAGGAAAUUGAUUUGAAUUUAAGAAUAGGAUAUAGUUUAAUACACUGUCUUGAAUUUCUGGAUAGAAGGGAGCCAUUAGUAACUCAAGAAGCCCCGGUGUUUCUUUCCACUGAGAUUCCUGUGCUGAUGUGCUAAAAGGGUAAGUCUCAUACCCCCAAACAUAUAUCAUGGGAAAUGCAUCUGGGCAGGCAACUUGUCCUUGUGCAUCAAUCACCACAAUUAUACGUUUCUUCUCAAAAUGCCACUCUUCUUUUGCUAACUUGAUAACUUCUUUAGCAAUCAAUGAAGGUCGGUGCACUGUGUGCCAUUUCAUAGCUCUCUGCUUCUUCAUAAACUUUUCUUUGGUCUUCUCACUCUCCCAAUCCUCUGAUUUAUCGAUGAUUGGGAGCCACACGAUCUCUAAUCGACUUUGUUGUGUUCUUUUGGCUCUGGAGUUGGAAUAUAUGUCUUCCACUAUACUAAUAUCUUCCUCAGAGAUGUCUAGAUCUGAUAUGAGCAAUAGCACCAGUUUUUUUCUCAGUGCUUCCAGGUCAACCUGUUUGAUUUGGUUGUCAUCCAGAAAACAAUUAACAAUCAAAUAGUUGCAUUUGAUUGAUUAAUUUCCAGCAAAGAAAGGAAAUUUAUUAAGGACCUGUUUUUGGUCCCACAUUAGUGGUGCUUGAUCAUCUUUGUAAUGAAAGAGUGCUUUCAGAAUAUUCAUGUUGUCAACUUGUGGAACUUCCAUUAGGCUCUUGAUUUCAUUCAGAAAUUGAUUGAUCCUCGCUUCCUCUGCAUUAUAUAUACAAUUACAGAUCAAAUACUAGAAAAAAAUGCAAACUAAUUGAUGAGCUUUGAACCAGUAUCAGUUUUCUUAAUUACCUAAGGAGGAGUUUAGCGAAUCUUGCCGCCAAGACUGAAGGAUUUGUAACUUCUCGUAAAGUUUAUUUUUCAAGGUCUCUAGUUCAUCCUUUUCUAUGCUUGAAAUUACAUACCUGAAAUCAAAUAUUAGAACCAUCUUCAGAAAUUUAGAGAGCAAAGAGAGCUGUCAGUCAAUUAUACAACGGAAAACAUACUUAAGAUUCAUGCUGAUGAGACGAGUAAUAUUUGAUGCACAAACCAAGACACUUCUGAUAGUCCAAUAGACGGUGAUUGGGAUAACUUUUGAGUGCUCAGAAUAUGGUUUUGAUGACUCGUAUGAUUUAUCGAGUUGGCUGAGUUGGUCUUUCACCAUUUGGAUAUCAAUGAUGCACCUUGUCACAGACAUGAUUGCCAUUACAAGAUCAUUAACCACCUUCAGUGGAGGAGAAAGGAGGUCGGGUUGCCUGUGGAUAUCAGCUACUUGUUUCAGGAUUGACAUUGAUUCAGCAAGUUGGCGCGAUGAAUAUAUUAGAGCUAGGUGCCAGCAUUCCCCAUAAUUUAAAGCAAAAGCUGUUAGAGUCAGUAUCAGUCUAGCCUCCCAUGAAUAUUCGUUUAGAAUCUUAAAUAUUGACAGUACGGUGCCGUGUGAUUCUCCUUUGCUUGAAGUGUUAUAUGCUAUCUGAAAAUUUUAAAUGUAGUGAUUAUGUGAACCCGGUCUAGCCAAAUCUAAUCUACAUAUGAUAUAUAUAUAUAUAUAUAUAUAUAUAUAUAUAUGAUUGCAAACCUCAUAGGAAAUUUUAUCCAGUUUAUGAUUGAAUCGCUCUCGCAAGUAAAUUACUUCGUCUUGGUGAGCCGCUUCUUUCAUGUACGCUUGGAUAUCCUGCAAAAAGGAAAAAAAAAAAAAAAAAGGAGUUUUCAAGUUUAAAGUUUAUGAUUAAAUAAGAAAAUUUGUAUCGAUUGGAUAUGAUCUGAUUGAAUUUUUAACUAAUUUGAAGUCUUAAGAGUAGGUAUGACCAUGAUACCAGAACCGAAUCACUUGUGGUUUCUAAGAUGGUUGAAACCACUGGCUUCGAUUUUGUUCCAAUUUUGAAUCAAAAUUGAAUAAUAUACUUUAAACUUUUUAAAAUAUUUUUUUAAGAUUCGCAGCUUUAAUUAAUAAAUAAUAAUAAUGACAAUAAAUAGCACUAUUGAAAAAACUAAACCAAUUUAAUAAAAAAAUCUUAAAAUUUAUUUUAAAAAAUUAUAAUAAAACAAAAAAAAAAUAAGUUGGGAGUUUCUUUAAAAAUAUAUUUUUUACGAUUUCAAACUGAAAUUGCUGGUUUUAAAUCAAAAUCACUAAUUUCAGUUUUAAAAAUGAAAAACUAGACCUGAAAUUUAAGUUUACAGUUUCGAUUACGGUUUAGAACCAAAACCAUUGACUAUGGUUUAGUAUCAGUUUGGUUGUUAUUCGGUUUCGAUUUAAAAUCAAACCAUAGUCAUCCCUACUUAAGAGAAACUACCUAUAUCGUGUAGCCUCCAAUGUUAAAAAAAAAAAAAGGAAAAAAACUAUUUUUAUAUACCAUGACAUUGCUGGUAACAUUUCGGAUGGCACGGUGAAGGAUGUCCUCCACAAGAUGGAAAAGAGGGUUGACGUUGAAGUGUGGCUUCUUUUGAGGCUCAAGCUCUAGGAUCUCCUCAGUAAUUGAUUUUUCCUCAGGCUCUAACCCUAGUAUUCUUUGCCUGGGUGGAUUCAUCUGCUUCUUCGGUUCUUCCACCGAGUUUGCUGUUUUAAUUUCAGUACUCAUAGUUCUUGGAGUAUUUUGAAGCACAACUGAGUCACUCUUACUGAGUUUAUAUAUGUUGAAAAAAUGUGUGGAAUAAGUUCCUUGCUUCUAUUGCAAUUAAACGAAACUUAUUCAAAGUGAGCCAGUUUUUGUGGUCUGGUCUCUUUACUCUACCAUGACUGUGCGGCCGUGUUUCACGUUUUGGCUAGCUAGUUACUGUUUGUGAGUCCAAAUUCUGAUUGCAAAGCUUGUACAAGGGAACGUAAAUUUAUUCACACAUUUAUAAGUCUUAUCCUUGAAGAAAUGGAAUAAAUUACUUGCUUCUGCUGCAAUUAAACUCUUGAAAGCUUGUAAUUGACAUAGGCCUGGAUAUCUCAUGGUUAAUAUCCAAAAAAAAAAAAAAAAAAAAACCUUGCAUUUUCUCUUAAUUAAUUUUUGUAGAUUGAACUUUCUGCAAUCUACAUUUGAGGUGAUUCAUUCAUUUUUUUUUAUUUUUAUAAAAAAUAAAAAAUUGUCAAAUUUAAUGGAAAUACAUGUGGUUAAGAGAACUCGAACUCACAUAAGACUUAAUUAGCAACUUUGUCAUCAUCUUUAGUAAAAGACUAAGAAAAUUGAAUGUCUAAUAGUAAAGAAUUCAUUUAUUCUUUGAAAUAAUUUUUUUUUUAAAAAUUAUGAUAAUCGAAAAAGCUAAUUAGAAAUGGAUACACUCUGUAGUAUUCUUACCUUUCAUUUGUACAUAAAUGCUUCCUUUACAAUAUCUCAACUCUUUAAAUUAGUAGGUUGAUGAAGCAUAUAUAUAUAUACCUAUAAAUAUAGUACACAAUUAUUUUGAUUUAAAAGUUAAUAGGUGCAAUAUUCUCAUAAGUUGGAAAUGUCUUGUCUACGCUCAGUGUAUGAGUGGUCUCAUAUAUUAAACCAGUCAAAAAAAUAAUUUUUUAAAAUAAAUAUAUUAUUUUGUCAUCCCGUAAUACUGUUUGUAAUCGAUUUGAUAUAUAUGUAGACUCACACAAGAUGUAGGUAAGUCUUUCUCAAUAAAUUAGAAAUUUCUUGCCUACACCCAGUGAUCCCAUGUCAAGCCAAUAAAAAAAAAUUCUAAAAAAUAUUACCUUUUUAUCUUUUUUUUUUUUUUUCCUAACAUAUAGUUAGAAAUACUUUAAAGUGAAAAUUUAGUAGAAUAAUUAGAUGAUUCACUUAGAAUUGAGCAACUAUAUUGAUCAAAUGCACCUAAUUAAAUUAAUUUUUUUAUACGAUAAAUUGAUUGUAAAAAAAAAAAGCUAAAAUAUUUUCAAUGACAAAAAAAAAAAGACACUUUGAAUCUAAUAAAGCUAAAAGAAAGAAUAAAUGGAUAAGGUAGUUUAUUUGAUUAAAGAAAGAAUAAGAAUAGUGAAUAAAAUUUCCACAAGCAAAGUAGAAUUCUUCAUUUCACUUACUAUUUUAUAGCCACGAAAUUGUACAACCAAACUGAUAUAUAAAAAUAGGAAUCCCUUGGAAUUGGAGACACCAAUUGCCUGGCUACUAGAAGCUGUCAAAAUAAGCAUAGGAAGUUUGAUUUGAGUGAACUCAUUUCAGGUACCUUUUUUUUUAUCUAUUUUUUUAUUACUAACUAUAUAUGUGUUACUUUGCUUAUUUAUGAUUUAAUUACUCCGUCCGUGCCGAAAUAUAUAGAGCUUAAUUUACAUUUUUAAUUAUUUCGUAUUAUUAUCUCAUUUUUUUUACAACAAGUGAAUAAGUUAGUUUUUUUAUUUAAUGACAUAUAUACUAAUAAAUGCAGAGUAGAAGGACAAUAUUAGAAAAAAAAAUAAAAUAAAAAAUUAAUAUAACCACAUUAUUAUUAUUAUUAUUUUUAAACUAUGUAACAGUUAAACCAAGUAUAUAAAGGCACGUAGAGAAUGCAGUUGUAACAGAGAGAAUUCAAAACCAAAAACUCCAUCAAGUGAAAAAGCAAUGAGAGAGAGAAUUUGGUCUCACGCAGUUCAAUCCUCCAGAUUAUACCUUGAAAAAUGAUAAUACAACAUUAAAAGUUAAUAAAUUAGUAAUUAAAUCAAAUCAAAUUAUAUAUAUAUAUAUAUAUAAAUUUUUAAAAUGACCUUAUUAUUUGAUAAACGAUUAAGAAAAUGCUUGUAGAUUUUUUUAAUUUUUUUUAAUCCUUGAAUUUUUGAAAAUUGAAAAUUAAUAAAAUUAUUUUUCUCUCUUUCACUAAUUUUUAGUUUUUAUAAAUAAUUAUAAAAAAUAAAAUAAAAUUCAAUUAAAUUCCGCGACUUACUCAUCAAACUAGUUGGAUAUCCAAUAUAAUUUUAAAAAAUUAAUUUUAACUCUUUAUGAUGCGUUUUUUAUUGAAUUUAUGAUGCGUUUAUGUGUGUAUUUAUACAGUAAUUUAUAAAUAAGUGGAUAAUUUAUAUAUAUAUAUAUAUAUAUAUAUAUAUAUAUAUAUAUAUUAUCUGCAUUCAAAUAGUACGUUACCUAUAAAUAUAUUAUUAUAUAAAUUUUAGUUAUAUAUUACAAGAUAAAUUUUACUCCAUCGGUCUCAAAAUUAUACUCUUAGAUAUUUUUUUCAUACAAUUUAAGAAUAGUUAGUUAAAUUAGUUAAAGUUACAUAUUUUUUCUUAUUUUUUCUUAUAUCCUUAAAAUUGAAAUUUAAGAAAAAUUAAAAUAGAAAUAUAAACCAAACAAUAUUUUUGUAUUAUUAUAUGAAAAUAUUUUAAGUGGUAAUUUAGAUAUAAUUUAGAGAUACAAUUAAUUAUAUGUUACUCUUUUUUUUUUUAAGGUAAUAAGCUACUAUUUCUUAGUAGUUUAUUAUUCAUAGUUAUUAAUUUUUAGUUUUUGCUACAGUGAUCGGAAUUAAUUUUUGUUAAUGUUUAUUAGCUUUGGAAAAUGAGUUGGGAGAUGGCAAAACAAAUAUUUAAGUCACCAUGGGUGAAAGAACUGUGGGCUGCAUUUGAGAUUCAAGUUCUAGUACUUACAAGCUUAUUGUUUCAAAUAGUCCUCGCCGUCUGUGGCGGUCGCCGGAAGUACAAGCUAGGAGUUCUUACUCGCUUGCUUGUUUGGUUUUCUUAUUUAAUGGGCAUCUAUGUCGCAACAGUUUCACUUGGCAAGCUUACUGACACCAACAACGACACAAUUGCCCUUAAUAGCAUCAGUUACGGUGAUGCUCCUAAGGUGAAUGUUACCAGCAAUGAACUAAGGGCGAUGUGGGCUCCGUUGCUUCUUGUUCAUAUCGGCGGCCCUGAUAGCAUCACCGCUUUCGCGGUGGAGGAUAACCGGUUGGGUCUGAGGCAGUUUCUUGAACUGGGAGUGCAAAUAACUGUUGUCGGUUUGAUUUUUAUCAAAUCUUGGAAUAAUUCUUGGUUAUCAAUUAUAGCCUUGACUUUGCUUGUGAGUGGAGCUAUUAAAAGUCUUGAGAGAGUUUGGUCUCUCAGAUGCUCGGCCACAACAGAACCUGUGUUUGGUAAUUUAGCAGACAGUAAAGCUUUAGAAAUAGGCACCCACCAUUUCUUAUCAAGCACUAAAGCUUUAGAAGUAGACAGACUUUGGUCUCUUAAGUCCUCAAUUCCAGACCUUCUAUUGCUUGUGAAGGCUUAUAUUCGUUUCGAACACUUAAAGCCUCACCUUCAAAACUGGAUAGGCCAUCCUUUGUCUAUACAAUUGCCUUCUAUGAGCACAUAUUAUUCUACACCAAUAGAUACCUUUAAAAUUGCAGAAGCAGAGCUAAGCUUCAUGUAUGAUGUGCUCUACACUAGGGCUCCCAUCAAUUAUUCCGGCACAAGUUUUGUACGCCGAGCCAUUUGUUUCCUUUGUUUAGCUUGCAGCUUGUGUGGAUUUGCAAUCUUGUUUCGACACGCCGAUGUUCAGAUUUUCAAAAUUCUGGUCUCACGGAAAUAUGACAAGAAGGUGGACAUUUCUAUCACUUAUCUGCUUCUUGCUGGUGCUAUUACAUUGGAACUUUAUGCUUUGCUAACCAUUCUUUGCUCAGAUUGGUCCGUUCUUUAUCUGAUAAAAGAGCAAAGAAAUAAAUUUGUUGAUGCUGCUCUUCAAGUCUUUGCUCAUAAGGUUUCAAGGCCGCCGAGAUGGUCAAAUCAGAUACAGCAACUAAAUAUGUUGCAUUAUUGUAUAUCCAAAGAGCCUACCGUCCUUAACAAAAUCCUUAACAAACUCAUUCGUCGAAUCCCCAAGAACACUCCAUGUGCUCAGUUACUCGAGGGAUGGGAUCAACGAUACAAGAGGUUUCGCUUAACCCAAUCUGUAGGAGUUGAUGAUACAUUGAAGGAACUGAUAAUUAAACAGAUAGAGGAAGUUCGAGGGCAAAGAGUUUGGCAAGCCUUCACAAAAAGAGGAGAAUGGGCAUUGGAAAGGUACAAAUGUCUUGACCAAUUCAAAUGGAGCAUAGGAACAGACCACACUAAUGAAGCAAACCAGCAAACAAGUUUUGGAAGGGCUAUAACAAUCUGGCAUUUAGCAACUGAUGUUUGCUAUGGAAGGGAGUCCUCGGAGAGUAAAAGUACUAACAAAGAGUUGAGUAAGCGUUUGUCUGAUUAUAUGAUGUAUCUACUAGCCGUACGCCCCCACAUGCUAUCUAUUGGUACAGGGAGUAUUCUUUUCCAGGGCGCUUCCAAGAAACUUGGUGAAUUUUUAAGUGUUAUUAUCAGUUCACCAACAGAUGCAGCCACCAAGAAAGGAAAAACAGAUGAGAAAACUAUGAUUCAACAUUUUUUAGAAAAAUUGCUCCAGAAGAGUUCUGAAGAGACAGUGGUUCGGGUAUCUAAUAAACAUAACAAUGUGGAAAUAUCUGCAGAGAGUGAAUAUGUGAUCAUAUCGAGCUGGAAUUUAGUACUGGACGCCAAACUACUUUCAGAGCUUCUGAUAGACAGGGAAGACAAAUGGAGUCUGCUAUGUAGUAUUUGGACUGAAAUGCUUUUCUAUGCUGCAAGUAAUUGUCCAUGGGUUCAUCACACUGAACAGCUAAGGCGUGGCGGAGGGUUGAUCACUUUUGCUUGGAUUCUCUUGAACCAUGAAACAAAUAAGUUCAAUAUCAGUAUGUAUUGAUUUUUAUAGCUGGAUAAAUAAGUAUUGGGCCUUUGUUUGAUUAGCCCAAUUAGAGAAGUGGACCUUUAUUAUUUCUUUGAGUCCAUCUACUUGUGCCAUCUUUUGUUUUCUCAUUUUCUUAGAAACCUUUGAGCGCCGCAUUCAAUAUCCACUGCCCAAUUUGAAUGUAUUGUGUAUAUUUCGAUUUAUUCGCGUGUCCUGUAUUCUAUUAUUCUAGUUACUUUAUUCUAGCUAGCUCCAUCAUUCUAGAAUUCUGUCAGGAGUUUUGUUUUAUUUAAUCUUUUUGGACCAUCUUGCCUGAUCAAAAUAUCUCAAAUAUAGUGUUUUUUUUUUUAUUUUUGAGAGAGUGAGGUGUUCAAACAAUAUACAAUUUGAAGUUCAACAAAGUUAAAUCUAUAGAUACCAAUGUUUUUAGUACACUCGUGAAAAAUAUCAUUGGGCAAUUUAACUUGUGUUUUGACUAUCGCAAUAGAGAUCAAUAGCUCUAGAGUAAAGAAUGCCCGAAAUAGCAAGUAAUCAAACACAGCCAAAUAUGUUCACCGGUGGCAUUCGCUAAGGCAUGAUAUUCUGCUUCAACGAGAAACUAUAUAUGUAGUAAAACACCGGUACGUAGGAUCACCUGUCCAAUCAGUAUCAGUGAAAGCUCUUAGAUGAAAAAUGUAAGUGAUGAAAAAGAGUGCCCUUAAUAUAACGAAGAAUAUGAAAAACGGUGUAUGACGAGUUGAGAAAGAGUGCCCCUGUGAGAUUAUUUUUCAUUUUCUAGGUUAAAAAUUAAUUUUUAAAUUACUAUAAACAAACAUAAUCUCCAUGUUUCUCCAAUUUUGCUUUUUGUUUCCGAAUUUUCUCUCUCUACAAAAAAUGGAAAACAGAAAAGAGUUCUCUGCAAAUCAAUCACACUUUGAAUGCUAGAAAUUUCAAACAGAAAAGAUCAUUGAUAAUCAACUCGCUUAGUACAACAACAAAUUAUAAUUAACUAAGGCAGUACAAACCCCUUCUACGGUAAUAAAAUAUUUCUUAAUUGAUUAAUCGCACAAUCAUUAUUAUUAUCUCUUAAUCACAACACCUGUACAUUAUCAUUUUUUCCAUAUUUUUGGGACAAUCUGCACAAACUAUCUUUUGAGGCAAUUUUCCUUCAUCAUUAGGGAGCGCAAGCCGAUUACAGUGACUUUUCGCUGCUUUUACCUCUUUUUGAAUCUCACCUCUAAGUGCUUGCACGAAACCACCCUUUUUUUGUAUUAGAUCUUUCCAUCUACUAUAAUUCUCCAGACAUGUUAAGAUUAUAUUUCCUUUAGCUUCAACCCUUAUCUCAGAAUCCUUCAUCUCUUUACCCUUCAUCACAUUUUCCUUCAUCUCAUUGUCCUUCAUCUCAUUGUCCUUCAUUCCUUGAUCCUUCUUUAAUCGUUGGGUGAAAAUAGCCCAACCAGAUUCACUAUCAAAGAUGAGCAUUUUCAUGAUUUCUUUCAUUGUAGGAUCAUUUUCAGUUGUUUUUUUAAGUUGAUUCUUGGAAUACCACAUGCUUGCAAUUCUAACCCAGAAAUACCAUAUCAAACGUUGGUCUUGCAAGGAGCGGCUUAGCUUUUCGCUCUCGAUAGUCUCGAUGAUCUUUUUAACUCGUUCCUUUGAGUUCCUUCUACCUACAUAAACCAUUUCUAAUGGUAUAUUUGCAUCAUCUGCAACAUCUCUUGCUUUCUUUGUAAAUUUUUGAAUCCAGUCCAACUCAUCUCCUCCAUAGAUGCAUAUGUAUUUUUCUUCUUCCCCCUAAUGAAAUUAAAACAGAAAAAAAAGUUAAAAAAUUUUGAAAAAACACAAUUUUAAAUUAUUCUGUAAUUUUGAUUAUUACCCAAUCCAUGACUGUUUUAUCAAUGCCAUCGAACAAGAGAUCAAGUUUCCAACUUGUAUUCUGAUCCCACAGAGCUUCUUCACGUUCCUCAGUGAAAGGAAAGGCCCGAGUGCCCCAAAUCCACAUCAUAUGGAGUGCAUUUUGACAGACAACUUGUCCAAGUGAAUCAAGAACCACAAUAAUAGUCUUCUGUCCAAACUGCCAUUUUUCUUUAACAUACUUAACCACAGCACCAUCAACCGGGAUAGGGAGGCAUGAGUACCAAUUCAUUUGAACCUGUUUUUCCUCAAAUCGCCUCUUAUAAUUCGAUGUUCCAUCUUGGUCUACAAUCGGUAACCAAACAAUCUCAAACUGAAUAUUUGGGAUUGGGUUGAGCCGCGACUUCUCUUGCAUUAUAUGUCCAAGAAUAAAAAUAUCUUCUGUCAAGAUAUCCAGGUCUGAUAUAAGCAGUAACACAUUUUUUUCCUUCAAGACAUCAAUGUCAACCUGUUUUUAUUGUUGGAAGGUUCGCAAGUAGAUGGAUCAGAAAUGUAAAAUUCAUUUAUAAAUAAAUUUCAAUAAAUGAAUUUUAAUGUUCAAAAUGAUAUGAAUUAAAGUAUAAACUUCACUUGAAUUUCAAAUCUUAUGUUUGGAGGUCACUAAAUUUUUAAUUUUAUUUAUAAUUUGGUCCUAAAACAUAAAUUUGAUGCAGAUGAAUAGCUAAAAUUCAUUUUUUAGCAAUUUAUUAUAGGGAAAAAUAUACUUGAAUCCCUAAAUUAUAUCUUAACUAACAUUUCCAUCCCUCCGUAGCGUUUCUAAUUUUUGUUUUCAGCUAAGUAUUGAUCCUCUUAUCUAAAAAAGUCAGUUAUUUAUCAUGAGUAUAAUAUUUUUACGUACUUAAAUUAUAGUCAAAUUAACACUUACAUCCUUCUAGUAUUAACAAAUAACUUAGGAAUCUCUAACUUACUAUUUCAUCCAAUAAGUAAGUCUUUCCGACUAUUUUAAGUUAAAAUCACAGUUAAAAAUAAACAAAAAGUUAAAAUGAGGAUAAAGAAUAUAAGUAAAUCUCCAAAUUACCCUUAAUGACACUCAACUAGGGUAGAGAGGCAAAAUACCCAAUUUUUUUCAAAAUCUCCAAUUUUUCAUAAAUUUAAGCAAAAAAAAAAAUGUAUGAACUCAAAGCUUGCCUAGGAUCACCAUUCUAUGCAUUCCAAGAACUCAGUCUUCAUAUCCAUACUGCUAAAUACACAUUUAGUAGAACACAACAACCCACACUUGGCAUUGACAUCAAGAAAAGCAUUGGCCACCAAUUCAUGGUACUAAAACCCAUGUCUAAUUGAAUAGCCAUGAAAUUUCUUUGACUCUGCAAUUAUGAAAUUUCCAAGCAAACAAGCAAAAUAUUCAACAAAUGACUUUGGCAGUCGUGGCAGUAGAACCAAGAGCUGCAACCGUAGAGAUAGUUAAUGGCUUUUGAGACUUCCUCUGCAACUGACUUCUUCACCAACAUAUUAAGACUCUCUCGAGAAAAACCAUUUUCAGAAAACCCACAAAUAAUUGAAUCUAAUAGAAACCAAAAUUUCACUGGCAUACAAUCAAACACUUGCACUACAUCAUCAACUAACCUACAUUUCCCAUAAAAUUUCAAUCAAAGCGUUACCCACAAAAAAAUCAGAAAUCAAGUGCAUCUUUGUUACCAUGCCACAAUCACUUUAGUUAACCUAACAUCUAAAACCCUAGCACAAGCCUUUAUAACACAAGGGAAAGUAAAAUUUUAAGGUUUAAACUCUGUAUCUAUUAUCAUUUUCAUAAACAUGUUAAUUGCAUCAAAAUAAAGUUCAUUUUUAGUGUACCUACUAACAAGCGCAUCCCAUUGAAAUAAAUUCUUUUUCUGCAAAUUAUCAAACAGAGAAAAGAAUCAACCCUCCUUAUGCUCCUUCCUCUCCAUCCUACUCAGGACUCUCCAAAAUCAAAACCACGACCUAACCCAGUUCUUUGCUAUUGAAGUAUUCAUGCUCUUAUGUUCAUUAUUGGAGUGGGUGAGUUGCUUUGGUUCGAUUUGGGGGAGAGGGUGGAGAAGCGUAUCACUGCUUUGACAAAUGAACGUGUUUCGUGGGUAUCGGAGAGAGAGGAAGAUGGUAGAGAAACUAUUUGAUUUUUCAGACUAGGAGGGUAGCUUUGGAAUUUUCUUUUUUUAGCGGUGAUUUUAACUCAAAAUAAACGAGAGGACCUACUUAUAGACUGAAAUAAUAAUUUAGUGACUCUAAAGUUAUUUAUUAAUAUUAAAAUGACGUAAAUAUUAAUUUGACUAUAAUAGAGGGAUAUAAAAAUAUUUUACUCAUAUUAAUUAAAUUUAUUUUUUAGACGAAAUAUACUCAUUUUUCUGAUGGAAAAUGUUUAUUUUUUAUAUGGAAGGAUCUGAUGGUAAAUUUAUAGCAAAAAUAAGAAAUAUUAUAGUAAUUAAAAAAAAUAGAGAGACAAAAGUGUUAAUUAGAACGUAACUUAAAAACAUAAGUGGAUUUUAUCCUCCAUCAAAUUAAGAAUAACUUUAAAAAGUUCAAUAUAGAGUAAAGCCUUGCCUCAUCGGUUCCUUUGACAAGCCGCUUCCGAUCUUUUUUACGAGGACCAGGUAGUAAUGCUUCGAGAAUUUUGACAACGUCAUUUUCCUUCGUCUCAAACAAACUUACAAGUUUCUCGUAAGCUUCCACAUGUUUUAUUUCAUCUGCAUAUAUCAAAUUAUAUAUAGGAGAUUUAUCAUAUAUUAUAUAUUCCCUCCGUUUAAUUUUAUUUGCAUGGUUUGACAAAACACGUAUAUUAAAAAUUUAGUCAAUAAAAAUUAUUUUGCUUUUUUUUACCUUUAACUCAUUAAAAAUAUUAAUAAAAGUCUCUCAUUUAAUAAAGGAUCACAAAUGUUACCAUGAAAAAAAUAAUUAUUUAUAUCUUUAAAUUUAGAAAUCUUGCAAACAUUUUGAAAUAUUAAAAAAAGUAAUAACAAGCAAACAAAAUUGUACGGAGGGAAAAUAUACCAAUUGUUAAUUUGAACUUUAAAAACUCACGGAGGUUUUUGCUCAAGAUCUUCAAUCGAGCUGAUAGCUCGACAUUCAACGUUGACAGCUUCCAAUUGGCAUCUGUUGCUAAUAAGUGCCUAUAACCAACAAUAACGAUUUAGAGGCCGUUAAAAAUUAACCUUGAAAAAUCUAGAUAUUAUGAAAAAUAUCUAAAUGAUAAUCUAAAUAAUCUAACAAAACAUUGAACUAAAAUGAUUCAUUUUAGUUGAAUUUAGAUAAUUAUUUUAAAAAUUUGGGUACCUAUCAGCUUAGAUAUAUAAAACGGUUUAUUUUUCGAUUUUGGUUCAAUUACCAUAUAUAACUAAUCAAAUUUAUAUUUAAGCCUAAUAUCUAAUUUGAUUUGGAAUAACAGAAUGCAAAUCGCUUUGAUUCAGUUUGGAUCGAUUUUAUAACUUUUGAUUCCAAAUUCGAUUACCAUAAAUAUAUGUUGGGUUAGAUCGAAUACGAACUAAUUCGGUUUGCCUAACCGAUUGGUCACCCUUUUGUGUGUGAAGAAACAAUAGCCAAAUUAUUGAAAAUAUUAACUCAGUAGCAAGUCUUACCCAACUUUUUUUUUUUUUUUUUUUGAAAGAAGUCUUAGUAUAUCAUGCUAAUUAUGAACUAAACAAUUAAAAUGAUCCAAGAUGCGUUCAUAAUCUUAGUUUAGAAACCAGCAACAGCAAAUUAAACUAAGGACAUGGAUUUACAUACCGAUGCCCCGUAAAACCAUUAAUUAGUGACCAGCACGCGACGA